UUAAUGCACAAUGAACAUUAUCAAAUAUUAUUAAUGUUGUAAAAUAUAUUGUUCAUUGUUAGUUCAUAUUAGCUAAGGCAUUACCAAAUGUUAAGGAAUAAACUCUUAUAGUAAAGUGUUACUAAAUUUUCUUUUACCAUUUCCUUCACAAUGUCUAUUUAUUUCUAUGGCUAACAGAUUUUGUAACAUUUGUCUUUUUUACAGUCUUACCAUUGCUUGUAAGCUGGAUUUGGUAAGAUGGAUCAUCUUUAAAGGCACCAGGCAAGUACAUGAUGUACAGUUACAAGUCAUGUAUUUUUUCGACUGCAAUAUUAAAUGCUUUCACGUCACAUGCAAAAUUACACAGGAAUGUGGCUGACUUUUUAUUUGUAGUUUACAUGAGUGUCCUUGCACUUUAUCAGGAGUUAAGGCAGAUGUGGAGGCACAACGGGUGAUACCAGACACACACCAAGCACAUUAUGUUCGGACAUUCAAUCAUGACAGGAUCCAGGUGGAUGCUGUCCAUUGAGAAAAGAGUUUGUUCAGCGGUUUCUGGAUAGAAUUAAUUCCAAAGAUGGGAAAAAGUGCACAUCCAGACAAGGAGCAAGCAAAAAGACAAGGAACUUGGUGCAGAGAAAAGCUGUGGCCAUUAACCCCCAUGUGAACAGCUUCAUGCAGUCCCUGAUUGAGUUCGAAUGGACGACUUCAAAGUAAAGGCCACUGUGGUCUGUCUGCCACAGUUUAAUGCAUUUAUUUUUAGUGUUAAAUGAAAUUCAAGUAGAAUAUUUAAAACUAUGGGCCAGUGUUGUUUUUACCACAGUGAAAUGUUACCUUUUAGUCGAUGAUGGACUUUAAACUGAAAACUUCAAACUAUGGAACAGUGUUCUAUUUGCCAGAGUUAAAUAUGUUACAGCAGGGGUCUCCAAACUUGUUUAUACUUGUUGAUUUUAUUUUAUGUUACUUGAUUAUAUGUUUAUUAUUGUUUAAAAUCUUGUUUUAAAUAUGUUUGUUUCAAUUAAAUGUUUUUUUAAAUAAAAUUUUGAUACAAA